rnacentral:rRNA from 1 species
UACGAAGGGAGCUAGCGUUACUCGGAAUUAUUGGGCGUAAAGCGUGCGCAGGCUGUUUUGUAAGUCAGAAGUGAAAUCCUGGGGCUCAACCUCAGAACUGCUUUUGAUACUGCAAGACUAGAGUGUGUGAGGGGAUGGCGGAAUUCCUAGUGUAGUAGUGAAAUACGUAGAUAUUAGGAGGAACACCGGUGGCGAAGGCGGCCAUCUGGCACACAACUGACGCUGUUGCACGAAAGCGUGGGGAGCAAACAGG